rnacentral:rRNA from 1 species
GAUGAACGCUGGCGGCGUGCCUAAUACAUGCAAGUCGAGCGAACAGACGAGGAGCUUGCUUCUCUGAUGUUAGCGGCGGACGGGUGAGUAACACGUGGAUAACCUACCUAUAAGACUGGGAUUACUUCGGGAAACCGGAGCUAAUACCGGAUAAUAUUUUGAACCGCAUGGUUCAAAAGUGAAAGACGGUUUUGCUGUCACUUAUAGAUGGAUCCGCGCCGCAUUAGCUAGUUGGUAAGGUAACGGCUUACCAAGGCAACGAUGCGUAGCCGACCUGAGAGGGUGAUCGGCCACACUGGAACUGAGACACGGUCCAGACUCCUACGGGAGGCAGCAGUAGGGAAUCUUCCGCAAUGGGCGAAAGCCUGACGGAGCAACGCCGCGUGAGUGAUGAAGGUCUUCGGAUCGUAAAACUCUGUUAUUAGGGAAGAACAAAUGUGUAAGUAACUAUGCACGUCUUGACGGUACCUAAUCAGAAAGCCACGGCUAACUACGUG